CUUGCCACUAGGGAAAAAGUAUCGCACAAAAAAGAGUCUUUUUACAGUACAAAACAUUGUUAAAUUAGAAAUCUCUCUUUGGGAACGGAAGGAUGUGACAUUUUCAUGCAAUUAUCCAUAUAUACCGCCGGUGAUGGCAAUGCGUAAACGAAAAGUUCCAUAUUCGCCAGGAAAUACGCCGGGAAAACCCGCACAAAAGGAAACAAGAACUUCUCAUGAUGGUUUUACGUUUAAAAGCAAGCGAAGUCUGCUGUUUAGCCCAGGAAAAGAUAUGCCAGUCUAUAAAUCAGAGAUAACAGCUACAUCAGCACCAUGGUCUGACAAAGAACUCUCAGCUUUUGUUCAGUUCGUGGCACUAUACCAUGAUUCCUCUAAGUCUGUUUGGCCAA